rnacentral:tRNA from 1 species
GAGGGUAUAGCUUAGUGAUAGAGUGCAUGCCUAGUACGCACAAGGCCCCAGCUUCGUUCCCUGGUACUUCCA